ensembl:lncRNA
CCGCAUGUGUGGGAGGUGGGACAAAGGAGUUAUCAGGGGUAUGAAGAGUAGAACUAGGGGCUCCAUUGUGAACUAGAACAAUGAUAACUAACCUGAGCAACAGUAUACAAGGCAUAUUGACAUUUGAGAGAGACAUACAGCGAGGCAUACAGUAAUCACAGGUGUUGAAUUGGGAAAGCUAGCUAAGACAGUAGGUGAGACAACAGCUAAUCAGCUAGCACAACAACAGCAGGUAAAAUUGCGUUGACUAGGCAACGGGGCCGACAGAUAAAACAUAAACAAGCAGAAUGGAGUACCGUGAUUAAUGGACAGUCCAGUGUGCAUCAGCUAUGUAGCCAAGAGAUCAGUGUCCAGGGGGCAGCGGUGGAUGGGGCAGGGAAGCUGGACUGGCGAGUGUUAUCCAGGUUGAAAAAAAGUUAACAAUGACUAAAUAGCUUGUAGCUAGUUAGCUGGUUAGCUUCUGGAGGUUCUUGAGUGUGUUCUAAAAAUUAAAAAUAAUAGCGAUUCCGUAUCACAUUGGGUGAGGCAGGUUUCCGGAAAGGUAUAAACAGAUUAAAAAUCAAGAAGAGAUAGAAAGUAAAUAUGGGUCUGGUGAGUGUUUGGGACGCGGCGAUUCAGACGGUUAGCAGGCCUGUGCUAACAAGCUAACAGUUCGUAGGCCCGGGCUAAACAAGGUAGCAGUUAGCAGGCUGAGUUUAGCAAGCAGGGAGAUAGCGAGGGCUAGAGAGUUGGCCUUUGGGGGACGUCGCGAUGGGGUGAGUCUGUUUAUUCCUCUUCAUGCGGUGACAUCGAUAGACCGGUCGUGGGCCCGGGUAUUGUAGCCCAGGAGUAUGCUACGGUGGUAGUACAGGUGCGCUGGCCGGGCUAGCUUCACGCUAAGUGGGUGGAAACGCUAGCCAGGAGUAAUCAUCCGGGGUUGCAGUUUAGCUAGAUAGCUAGUUGUGAAGAUCCAGCUGAAAAAUGUUCCGUUUGCGGUGGGAAUCCGGGGAUGAAAAAUAAAUAGGUCCGUUAUGCUCUGGUUAGAGUCGCAUUGUUCGAACUGGCGAGAGCUUUCCGAGCUAAAGGUUAGCUUAGCUGAUGACCGGUUAGCUGAAGACCGCUAGCAUAGCUGGUGGUUAGCUGGCUAGCUUCAGUUGAGGGGUUCCGGUUCCGAAGUAAAUAUAAAUACUUUAGGAAAAAUAGCUACAUUGGGUGAGGCGGGUUGCAGGAGAGUAUUUGGAAGCUUAGGUUUAGCAAAAUGUUUUUAAAGAGAUAUGCGAAGAAAAAUAUGUAAAAAACGAAAAAGAAACAAUAUGUACAAGGCACACGACGCGACAGGUCGACUUACUGCUACGCCAUCUUGGAUCGAAGAUAAAGCAAAGCAGUUCGACACAAACAACAACACAGAGUCAUACAUGGAAUAAACAAACAUACAGUGGGGCAAAAAAGUAUUUAGUCAGCCACCAAUUGUGCAAGUUCUCCCACUUAAAAAGAUGAAAG